AAAACAUGGCUGAUGCAAGCCUUUAAGGAUGCUGCAUACCCAUGUCUCUUCUCACUAAUAGAACUGAGCUCCCAGUCAGCCUCUUCCACCUGACCCAGUGACCAUGAGGCGUGACCACAGGUGCCUGCUCUCUGGACAUCAGAACCAGACAUGGAAACGAGUCUUCAUGCAGAGUACGGAAUUUGGAACCAGAAGUAAUUCUAGAUGAACGCUGGUGACAAGAAAGUCUGGGGAAGAGACAACUCUAAGAGACAACAUGGCAUCAUGGAAGGAGCAAUAAGACUGAUCCCUGCCUCACUCCUGCUUUUUGGAAGUUUGAGAUUCCAAACUCUGUACUAUGGUUUUGCCCUCUGGAUCCUGCCUGUUUCUGCCUGCAUUCUCUGAACUUGAUCUCCAGGCUUUAAUCCCGACUAAGCUUUGGAAACGUCCUUGCUUGCCAUUAGAUAGAGCAGGAGAGUGGAAGAUUAGCCCUGAACUAACUGCUGCCAAUCCUCUUCUUUAUCUGAGGAAGACUGGCCCUGAGCUAACAUCCGUGCCCAUCUUCCUCUACUUUAUAUGUGGGACGCCUGCCACAGCAUGGCUUGCCAAGCAGUGCCAUGCCCGCACCCGGGAUCCGAACCGGCAAACCCUGGGCCGCCGAAGUGGAACAUGUGCACUUAACCGCUGCACCACCGGCUGGCCCCUUGUCCUACAUUUUCUUUCCUCAUAUGUCUAAAAUAAAUUAUUCAGUAUUCUUCUGGCAUAAACCAUCUGUUGAAAUAUCUGAAGAUAAUUUGAUUUCUUUCCCUUAUUAGUCACAAGGCCUUUUUGCCUAGGUGACUAAAGGUUUAUUUUUUCUUUAAAAU
rnacentral:lncRNA from 1 species